rnacentral:piRNA from 1 species
UGGACUAACAAGUCUAUUUAAGGCACGU